GUGCUCGCUUAAGCAGCACAUAUACUAAAAUUGGAAUAAUACAGAGAAGAUUAGAAUAGCCCCUGUGCAAGGAUGACACGCAAAUUCUUGAAGUGUACCAUAUUAAA
rnacentral:snRNA from 1 species